GACGAACGCUGGCGGCGUGCUUAACACAUGCAAGUCGAACGGAAAGGCCCUGCUUUUGUGGGGUGCUCGAGUGGCGAACGGGUGGGUAACACGUGAGUAACCUGCCCUUGACUUUGGGAUAACUUCAGGAAACUUGGGCUAAUACCGGCUAGGGGCUCAUGCUGCAUGGUGGGGGUUGGAAAGUUUCGGCGGUUGGGGAUGGACUCGCGGCUUAUCAGCUUGUUGGUGGGGUAGUGGCUUACCAAGGCUUUGACGGGUAGCCGGCCUGAGAGGGUGACCGGCCACAUUGGGACUGAGAUACGGCCCAGACUCCUACGGGAGGCAGCAGUGGGGAAUAUUGAACAAUGGGCGGAAGCCUGAUGCAGCAACGCCGCGUGCGGGAUGACGGCCUUCGGGUUGUAAACCGCUUUCGCCUGUGACGAAGCGUGAGUGACGGUAAUGGGUAAAUAAGCACCGGCUAACUACGUG
rnacentral:rRNA from 1 species